rnacentral:misc_RNA from 1 species
AAAAUUAACAAUUGAGUGUGGAUCAUUAUACAUUAUGCAUACAAGCAGUUGUUUCCUGAGACAUAGCAUAUGUGGAUUUAAAAUUUUCAUGUCAAUAUCUAAAUCAAAGUCCUCCUACAUUUAAUGCUUUUAGUAUGCUCCUACCUUUUUCUUUUCAGUUUGGAACUUGUACCAUUGCUAGUAACUUUUUGCUAUAUAUCCUACCUUUCC